GUUUUCUGGUGAUGAAACGAUAAAGGAAACAGCUAAAUUCUGUAGGGAAAUAGGAAGGCUGUCUAUGUAAGCAUAUACAAUACUGGACUAAGAACAUGGUCUCAGAAGUUAGACUUUCUGGUUUUCAGAUUCCAGGUUCAUCUGUUAUUACCUGUGAAAUAUUAAACAAAUUAAAUUCUUUUGCCUCAAUUCUUUUUAAUUGUAAAGUGGGGAUAAUAACACCUAGUCAUGAGACUGUUGAGAGGAUUAAAUGAAACAGUUUACAUAAAGACUUUAUAUAGUUCCCGCCCCCCAAAUAAAUAUCAGUUGCUUUUAUUAAGCAGAAUUAAAGGGUUUCUUAUUAUCACUUGUCUCUUAAUCAAAUAAACUGACAAAUAGUUUUUCAUAGAUAUUUAUUAUCUCAUAACUACAUUGAGCAACGAACUUUGUGCCUAUGCCAAGAAAGUUUGAGCUUUCUUAUCUUUCUGCCCUGCUGUUGCAUCAUUCCUUUUAACAGUUGCCAGAUGUUAAUUUAGUGUUUAUUCACUUUUUGUUGCAGUGGAAGCCAACAGAAGAGGGGUCCAUGUGUACAGAUAGGGCUGGAGUGAGUGAUCCACGUUCCAACAGCAGGCCCUUUAACCUCACUUGAAUAUGGAGGCUGCAUAGGUCACAAGUCUGAAGACUACAAGCUACCUUUGCUUAAAAGGAACCACACCAUCACUGAUAGCUAACUGCUAGAUCGUUCUCCAGCAUAUCAGGGCUACAUUGAAUUGCUUGAGUUGCGCUUCAGUUAACGUAGAGAACUUCACCGAACCACACAUAACCAUUGAAGUAACCUGCUGUUUACAGUCUCUUAUCAUGCUCUGCCAAGGGAGUUAUCUUACAGUGACAAAACUUCUCUUUGGUGCCCUGUCACAUCCUAGGACUUUGAUGUUGGUAAUUCUUUCCCCCCAGCAAAUGUUGGUUAUAAAUCCACAGAACUACUUGAGAAACCAGAUGCAAAAUUAUGUUCUUGAAGCUGGGAAGUCCAAGAGCAAGGUCUGGCAGCAGUGUCAGGUAAGAUUGGAGAGGGGAGGAUACCAGUUCCUGAAAGGAGAGGAGUUUUAAAGAGAAACUUAAAACAUCUGGGUAGUCUCCCAGAGGAUGUGGAAGCCACAGAGUCAUCUAGAUUUACUUCCCAGUUUCCUCAUCCAUGUUAAAGGUAUACCCCCAGAUGGCCUGAAGUAACUGAAGAGUCACAAAAGAAGUGCAA